UACGUCGGGUGCGAGCGUUGUCCGGAAUUAUUGGGCGUAAAGAGCUCGUAGGCGGUGUGUCACGUCGGCCGUGAAAACCUGCAGCUUAACUGUGGGCGUGCGGUCGAUACGGGCAUCACUGGAGUUCGGCAGGGGAGACUGGAAUUCCUGGUGUAGCGGUGAAAUGCGCAGAUAUCAGGAGGAACACCGGUGGCGAAGGCGGGUCUCUGGGCCGUAACUGACGCUGAGGAGCGAAAGCGUGGGGAGCGAACAGG
rnacentral:rRNA from 1 species